GAUGAAGAACGUAGCGAAAUGCGAUACGUAAUGUGAAUUGCAGAAUUCAGUGAAUCAUCGAAUCUUUGAACGCAUAUUGCGCUCUCUGGUAUUCCGGAGAGCAUGCUUGUUUGAGUAUCAGUAAACACCUCAACUCCCUUUUCUUUUUUGAAAUUGGAGCUGGACUUGAGUGAUCCCAACGCUUUCUUCCAAGAAAGUGGCGGGUUGCUUGAAAUGCAGGUGCAGCUGAACUUUUCUCUGAGCUAUAAGCAUAUCUAUUUAGUCUGCCUAAAAAACAGAUUAUUACCUUUGCUGCAGCUAACAUAAAGGAGACUAGUUCUUGUGCUGACUGAUGCAGGAUUCACAGAGACAGCUUCGGCUGACUUUGUAAACUCGAUCUCAAAUCCAGUAAGACUACCCGCUGAACUUAAGCAUAUCAAUAAGCGGAGGA
rnacentral:misc_RNA from 1 species